GAUGAACGCUAGCGGCAGGCUUAAUACAUGCAAGUCGAGGGGCAGCAUGGUGUAGCAAUACACUGAUGGCGACCGGCAAACGGGUGCGGAACACGUACGCAACCUUCCCAAAACUGGUGAAUAGCCCUCCGAAAGGAGGAUUAAUACACCGUAACAUAAUGAAAUGGCAUCAUUUUAUUAUUAUAACUCCGGUGGUUUUGGAUGGGCGUGCGACUGAUUAGGUAGUUGGCGGGGUAACGGGCCACCAAGCCUGCGAUCAGUAACUGGUGUGAAAGCACGACCAGUCACACGGGCACUGGGACACGGGCCCGACUCCUACGGGAGGCAGCAGUAAGGAAUAUUGGUCAAUGGACGAAAGUCUGAACCAGCCAUGCCGCGUGAAGGAUGAAGGUCCUCUGGAUUGUAAACUUCUUUUAUAGGGGACGAAAAAAGGGAAUUCUAGAUCGUCUGACGGUACCUUAUGAAUAAGCACCGGCUAACUCCGUGCCAGCAGCCGCCGUAAUAC
rnacentral:rRNA from 1 species